CGCGGUCUCUCACCUCCACACAUCGCUUCCCGCUCUCUCCCCCGCGACGACACCGACUUCCUACACCAGACCAGGCCCUCCUUCGACCUCCGCUCCUCCGCCGGGUCUCUCGAAGACGGCGGAGUUCGUGAUCUCAAAGGUAGAUGAUCUGAUGAACUGGGCCCGUAGGGGAUCGAUCUGGCCCAUGACCUUCGGGCUCGCCUGCUGCGCCGUGGAGAUGAUGCAUACAGGUGCGGCUCGCUACGAUCUGGACCGAUUCGGAAUCAUAUUCAGGCCGAGUCCUCGCCAAUCGGAUUGUAUGAUUGUCGCCGGGACGCUUACUAACAAGAUGGCUCCC
rnacentral:lncRNA from 1 species